GUGCCAGCAGCCGCGGUAAGACGAACCGUGCGAACGUUAUUCGGAAUCACUGGGCUUAAAGCGCGUGUAGGCGGAUGGGGACGUCGGUCGCUGAAAGCCCCCGGCUCAACCGGGGAACGGGCGCCGAAACGCCCCGUCUGGAGGGACGUAGGGGGACCUGGAACUUCCGGUGGAGCGGUGAAAUGCGUUGAGAUCGGAAGGAACGCCCGUGGCGAAAGCGAGGUCCUGGACGUCUACUGACGCUGAGACGCGAAAGCUAGGGGAGCGAACGGGAUUAGAUACCCCGGUAGUCC
rnacentral:rRNA from 1 species